AUUUUUCCCAUUUCUCUUUUGCAUUAUUUGGGAUUUCCACAGUUGAUUUUGAUUUUUAUAAUGAUUUGAUAUGCAUUUAUAUGCAUAUUUAAGUAGUAUGGCUUAAUUAAAUGGAUAAAUUACAAGGAUUUUAGAAGGCUGAAACCUUUCUUGUAUAUUAUGUAAAUAUGCAAACAUACAGCAUGAAACACACACUGCACGUUUCAUUUUUUAACCACAGGAAUUCUGUCAUCAGGCUGCUGUGUUGUGGUCGAGGAUGGCCUGCACCUUACUCUCUGUUUCGUGUCCUUUCGGUUCUUUUCCACGUCUCAGGCACUGUCUGGAUCAAGGGACGCCCAGCUCUGGAUUGGGACCUAGGAGCCGGGCCCACCCUCACCUAAUCACGGUGGCGAAGACCAUUUCUGGAUACCUCACAUCCGCAGCACACUGCCUGCCCUGCCUGUUUUCACUAUUAAACCACCUCGAGUGGAGGACGCACAGGUGUUGGGAGGGACUGAAGCUUGGGGGCGGGGAGGGAACUUUGCACCCACUUCCUAGUAGCCCAGCUCCUGCAGGAGGAAGCUGGGAGACAGGCAGACUCAGGGACUCUAAGAGGGACAGUGUUUCCAUGUGACAGUGGUGUGGCAUGGGUGCCUCCAUCCCCAGCCUGGGCAUGGAUACCCCUGGGAUAGGCACUGCGGGGUCCUGUCCUGCCCACCCAGCCCUGCUGGUCUCUGACCCUGGGGCCCCAUUCUUCUGCCCACAGUUCCUAGGGUGUCCAUGCUGCCUGGCGGCUGCACAAUCUCAAAUCUCACCUUCCCCGCUGCAGUGCCUCGGCUGAGGAGUUGGUCGCUUGGUCCACCCUGCAGUCCCUUACUCCAGGACCGGGCGGGCUGGAGUUGGCAGAGUACCCUUGACUAAUUCCUAGGAGCGCACUGCUAUAGCAUCCCUGUGGGUCUGCCUGGGCCGCCCCAUGUGGUGCCACAUGGUGGGCGACUCAGACUGCAGAUGUGGAUUUGUCUCCAUGCUGGAGGCUGGUGGUCCAAGAUGGAGGGUCAGCAGGGGGGGUUCCUCGCUAGGGCUGCGAGGGGGCUCCAUUCCAGCCUUGCUCCUGGUCCUAUAUUUGGCUGUGUCUUCCAUGACCUCAGUGGUCCACCCCCUCUGUGCCUGUGUCCCAACCUCCCCUUCUUGUGAAGAUACCAGUCCCAUUUGAUUAUCUCACGUAAUCCCAUUCCUUCCUUAAAGCCUUCUCUCCAAACCAGUCACCUUCUGAGAUCCUGGAAGUUUGAUUUCAACACACGGGUUUGGGGGGCAUGGUUCAGCCUGCAGCAGCCUCCUGCACGUAGGCUCUGGAUUAUCUGGACUCUGGAGCUUGUGGGUCUGUCUGUCUGGGGUCACU
rnacentral:lncRNA from 1 species